rnacentral:rRNA from 1 species
GAUGAACGCUAGCUACAGGCUUAACACAUGCAAGUCGAGGGGCAGCAUGGUCUUAGCUUGCUAAGGCCGAUGGCGACCGGCGCACGGGAGAGUAACACGUAUCCACCCUGCCGUCUACUCUUGGACAGCCUUCUGAAAGGAAGAUUAAUACAAGAUGGCAUCAUCAGUCCGCAUGUUCACAUGAUUAAAGGUAUUCCGGUAGACGAUUGGGAUGCGUUCCAUUAGAUAGUAGGCGGGGUAACGGCCCACCUAGUCUUCGAUGGAUAGGGGUUCUGAGAGGAAGGUCCCCGACAGUGGAACUGGGACACGGUCCAAAGUGAUACGGGAGGCAGCAGUGAGGAAUAUUGGUGAAUGGGCGAGAGCCUGAAGCAGCGAAGUAGCGUGAAGGAUGACUGCGCUAUGGGUUGUAAACUUCUUUUAUAAAGGAAUAAACGCGUGUAUGGAUACCCGUUUGCAUGUAAUUGAUGAAUAAGGAUCGGCUAACUACGUG